rnacentral:rRNA from 1 species
GCAAGUCGAACGGCAGCACGAGAGCUUGCUCUUGGUGGCGAGUGGCGAACGGGUGAGUAAUAUAUCGGAACGUAUCCAAUAAUGGGGGAUAACUAAUCGAAAGGUUAGCUAAUACCGCAUACGCCCUACGGGGGAAAGCAGGGGAUCUUCGGACCUUGCGUUAAUGGAGCGGCUGAUAUCUGAUUAGCUAGUAGGUGAGGUAAAGGCUCACCUAGGCUUCGAUCAAUAGCUGGUCUGAGAGGACGACCAGCCACACUGGAACUGAGACACGGUCCAGACUCCUACGGGAGGCAGCAGUGGGGAAUUUUGGACAAUGGGCGCAAGCCUGAUCCAGCCAUUCCGCGUGAGUGAAGAAGGCCUUCGGGUUGUAAAGCUCUUUCGCAAGGGAAGAAACGAUACCGACGAAUAAUCGGUGUUAAUGACGGUACCUUGAUAAGAAGCACCGGCUAACUACGUGCCAGCAGCCGCGGUAAUACGUAGGGUGCGAGCGUUAAUCGGAAUUACUGGGCGUAAAGCGUGCGCAGGCGGUUUUGUAAGUCAGAUGUGAAAUCCCCGGGCUCAACCUGGGAACUGCGUUUGAAACUACAAGGCUAGAGUAUGGUAGAGGGGGGUAGAAUUCCACGUGUAGCAGUGAAAUGCGUAGAGAUGUGGAGGAAUACCAAUGGCGAAGGCAGCCCCCUGGACUAAUACUGACGCUCAUGCACGAAAGCGUGGGGAGCAAACAGGAUUAGAUACCCUGGUAGUCCACGCCCUAAACGAUGUCUACUAGUUGUUGGGAGAGUAAAAUCUCUUAGUAACGCAGCUAACGCGUGAAGUAGACCGCCUGGGGAGUACGGUCGCAAGAUUAAAACUCAAAGGAAUUGACGGGGGCCCGCACAAGCGGUGGAUUAUGUGGAUUAAUUCGAUGCAACGCGAAAAACCUUACCUGGCCUUGACAUGUACCGAAUUUAGCAGAGAUGCUUUAGUGCUCGAAAGAGAACGGUAACACAGGUGCUGCAUGGCUGU